CCUACGGGCGGCAGCAGUGAGGAAUAUUGGUCAAUGGCCGGGAGGCUGAACCAGCCAAGUCGCGUGAGGGAAGACGGCCCUACGGGUUGUAAACCUCUUUUGUCAGGGAGCAAGGUGCAGGACGGGACCUUCUGUGAGAGUACCUGAUGAAUAAGCAUCGGCUAACUCCGUGCCAGCAGCCGCGGUAAUACGGAGGAUGCGAGCGUUAUCCGGAUUUAUUGGGUUUAAAGGGUGCGCAGGCGGAGUGAAAAGUCAGCGGUAAAAUCGCGGGGCUCAACCCCGAUCCGCCGUUGAAACUGGGUGCCUUGAGUGCGCGAAGGGUAGGCGGAAUGCGUGGUGUAGCGGUGAAAUGCAUAGAUAUCACGCAGAACUCCGAUUGCGAAGGCAGCCUACCGGCGCGCAACUGACGCUGAUGCACGAAAGCGUGGGUAUCGAACAGGAUUAGAUACCCUGGUAGUC
rnacentral:rRNA from 1 species